UAAAGGUUUGGUCCUGGCCUUGUAGUUAUUUCUAGGUAAGCUUACACAUGCAAAUAUCCAUGAACCUGUGCCUAAUUCCUUACAGCUUAAUUUUCAAACUUAAGGGAAAAGUAUCAAGCACAUACACAUAGCUAAUGACACUUAGCCUAGCCACACCCCCACGGGAUUUCAGCAGUGAUAAAAAUUUAGCAAUAAACGAAAGUUUGACUAAGCUAUACCUUAAAGAGUUGGUAAAUUUCGUGCCAGCCACCGCGGUCAUACGAUUAGCUCAAAUUAACUACUUUUCGGCGUAAAACGUGUUCCUGCCAUACUAUAAUAGAAUUGAAACCCAACAAAUGCGUAGAAGUUCAUCGUUCGGACCUAAAACCACCCACGAAGGUAAUUCUAAUAUACACAUACACGAUAGCUAAGAUCCAAACUGGGAUUAGAUACCCCACUAUGCUUAGCCCUAAACAUAAAUGAUUCUUUAACAAAAUUAUUUGCCAGAGGACUACUAGCCAAUGCUUAAAACUCAAAGGACUUGGCGGUGCUUUAUAUCCAUCUAGAGGAGCCUGUUCUAUAAUCGAUAAACCCCGUUCCACCUUACCAACUCUUGCCCUAUCAGCUUAUAUACCGCCAUCUUAAGUAAACCCUCAAAAGGAUACAUAGUAAGCGAAAGAAUAAACAUGAAGACGUUAGGUCAAGGUGUAGCCUAUGAGUUGGAAAGUAAUGGGCUACAUUUUCUUAAAAAGAACAUUAACGAUGUCUCUUAUGAAACUUAAAAGAUCAAGGAGGAUUUAGUAGUAAAUUAAGAAUAGAGUGCUUAAUUGAAUUGAGCCAUGAAGCACGUACACACCGCCCGUCACCCUCUUCAAAUAACCUAAUACAUUUAAAUACAUAAUUUUACGUAUAUAAACCUUAUGAGAAGAGGUAAGUCGUAACAAGGUAAGCGUACUGGAAAGUGUGCUUGGACAACC
rnacentral:ncRNA from 1 species